rnacentral:tRNA from 1 species
GCGGGAAUAGCUCAGCGGAAGAGUGUCACCGUGCCAAGGUGAAGGUCGCGAGUUCGAAUCUCGUUUCCCGCU